AACGAACGCUGGCGGCGUGCCUAAUACAUGCAAGUCGAGCGCAGGAAACCGUCUGAACCCUUCGGGGGGACGACGGUGGAAUGAGCGGCGGACGGGUGAGUAACACGUAAAGAACCUGCCCACGGGUCUGGGAUAACCACGAGAAAUCGGGGCUAAUACCGGACGGGUCAUCGGACCGCAUGGUCCGAGGAUGAAAGGCGCUCCGGCGUCGCCCGUGGAUGGCUUUGCGGUGCAUUAGCUAGUUGGUGGGGUAACGGCCCACCAAGGCGACGAUGCAUAGCCGACCUGAGAGGGUGAUCGGCCACACUGGGACUGAGACACGGCCCAGACUCCUACGGGAGGCAGCAGUAGGGAAUCUUCCACAAUGGACGAAAGUCUGAUGGAGCAACGCCGCGUGAACGAUGAAGGCCCUCGGGUCGUAAAGUUCUGUUGUAAGGGAAGAACAAGUGCCGCAGGCAAUGGCGGCACCUUGACGGUACCUUGCGAGAAAGCCACGGCUAACUACGUGCCAGCCGCCGCGGUAAUAC
rnacentral:rRNA from 1 species